UACGUAGGGGGCAAGCGUUGUCCGGAUUUAUUGGGCGUAAAGCGCUCGCAGGUGGUUCGAUGCGUCGUGCGUGAAAGACCCCGGCUCAACUGGGGAGGGUCGUGCGAUACGGUCGAACUGGAGGCCAGUAGGGGGAUGCGGAAUUCCGGGUGUAGUGGUGGAAUGCGUAGAGAUCCGGAGGAACACCAGCGGCGAAGGCGGCAUCCUGGACUGGUCCUGACACUCAGGAGCGAAAGCGUGGGGAGCGAACAGG
rnacentral:rRNA from 1 species